GAACUUCAAGCUAGUGACCAUGAACUGAUGGUUCUGAGAUUAUACUGUCUGAACUUGAUCUGGAUAAUUCCAGCGAAAGGACAUGUGAUGCUUGAGAU
rnacentral:ncRNA from 1 species